GCCCGGGUGGCGAAAUUGGUAGACGCAAGGGACUUAAAAUCCCUCGGUAGAAAUACCGUGCCGGUUCAACUCCGGCCCCGGGCACCA
rnacentral:tRNA from 1 species